rnacentral:rRNA from 1 species
UCUGGAAUUAGAUACCCCACUAUGCCACGAAGUAAACCAAUGACACCCGUCCGCCAGAAAAUUACGGGCACAUAAGCCUAAAACUCAAAAGACUUGACGGUGCCCCAACCUACCUAGAGGAGCCUGUUCCAUAAUCGAUAACCCCCGAUCAACCCAACCACCCCUAGAAAUCCUCAGCCUAUAUACCGCCGUCGCCAGCUUACCUCUUAAAAGCCACACAGUAAGCAUAAUAGUAUUAUACUAAAAAGUCAGGUCAAGGUGUAGCUAAUGCGGUGGAGCCAAUGGGCUACAUUAUCUGCCCCAGAUAACCUACGAACUAUUCACUGAAACCUAGAUAUAAAGGCGGAUUUAGCAGUAAAGUAAGCAAGAACACUUAAUUUAACAUUGCUCUGGGACAUGUACACACCGCCCGUCACCCU